rnacentral:rRNA from 1 species
UAAUACGUAGGGUGCAAGCGUUGCCCGGAUUUAUUGGGCGUAAAGGGCGCGCAGGCGGCUACGCACGUCCGUUGUGAAAUCGCUCGGCUCAACUGGGCGGGGUCAGCGGAUACGGCGUAGCUGGAGCAAGCUAGGGGGCAAUGGAAUUCCCGGUGUAGUGGUGGAAUGCGUAGAUAUCGGGAGGAACACCAGUGGCGAAGGCGGUUGCCUGGAGCUUUGCUGACGCUGAGGCGCGAAAGCGUGGGGAGCGAUCCGGAUUAGAUACCCGGGUAGUCCACGCCGUAAACGAUGUCGACUAGGUGUCGGGGGUAUCGACCCCCUCGGCGCCGCAGCUAACGCAUUAAGUCGACCGCCUGGGGACUACGGCCGCAAGGCUA